UCAUUACUAUUUUCAGGGACUGCGCGAUGGCUUCAGUUCCUUACUACCAAAUUUGCUCUCAGAGAUCCAGGAGACGACAAGCCUGAUCCUCUUCAAGUGCGAUUACUGGAGUCAGAGAACAAUGACCAGAAGCCACGAGAGCCACCAGCUCAUACCAUAACUUGAAGAUGACAUUGAAGAGUGAAGGAUUUGCAGAGUAACUAUGCAAGCACAAUAACAACUCUCCUUCAUCAAAGAUUCAUGGAGUUUGUUCUUCUCUUAUUCUUCAACCUUCCCCAGUAUCAUGUCCUGUCCCUAUACAAUGGUUGAUCCCUGUCUAGAGUGCUUUCCUCUCUAAUCUGUUUGUCAACUAAAUGCAAGUGUCAUUGUUUGCAUAAAACCUUUCAAGAGUGACCUGAGCAAAAAUAAAUGCCCUCUGUGGUGAUACAUUUACAUAAAACAAUACAACCAAUGUCUUAUAUGAAAACACUA